UAUCGCGACGAGUUUGAUCAGUGGCUACAGGACGAACGCUGGCGGCGUGCCUAACACAUGCAAGUCGAACGGAGAACAUUUGGAUUGAGACUUCGGUUGAUUGAAGUUUGUUCUUAGUGGCGGACGGGCGAGUAACGCGUGAGCAACCUGCCCUUCAGUGGGGAACAACAGCCGGAAACAGCUGCUAAUACCGCAUAACGUGCAACCGGGGCAUCCCGGAUGCACCAAAGGAUUUAUUCGCUGAAGGAUGGGCUCGCGUCCGAUUAGAUAGUUGGUGGGGUAACGGCCUACCAAGUCGACGAUCGGUAGCCGAACUGAGAGGUUGAUCGGCCGCAUUGGGACUGAGACACGGCCCAGACUCCUACGGGAGGCAGCAGUGGGGGAUAUUGCACAAUGGGGGAAACCCUGACCCAGCAACGCCGCGUGAAGGAAGAAGGCUUUCGGGUUGUAAACUUCUUUUACCAGGGACGAAGACGUGACGGUACCUGGAGAAAAAGCCACGGCUAACUACGUG
rnacentral:rRNA from 1 species